UCUGGUACAUUUAAACAAAAUGGAGGCUCUUUAGUUUUAUUUCAAUGGGAUAAAACUAAAGAGCCUCCAUUUUGUUUAAAUGUACAUGG